GAUGAACGCUGGCGGCGUGCUUAACACAUGCAAGUCGAACGAAGCGCCUUGGACAGAUUCUUCGGAUGAAGUCUUUGGUGACUGAGUGGCGGACGGGUGAGUAACGCGUGGGUAACCUGCCUCAUACAGGGGGAUAACAGUUAGAAAUGGCUGCUAAUACCGCAUAAGCGCACGGUACUGCAUGGUACAGUGUGAAAAACUCCGGUGGUAUGAGAUGGACCCGCGUUGGAUUAGCUAGUUGGCAGGGUAACGGCCUACCAAGGCGACGAUCCAUAGCCGGCCUGAGAGGGUGGACGGCCACAUUGGGACUGAGACACGGCCCAGACUCCUACGGGAGGCAGCAGUGGGGAAUAUUGCACAAUGGGGGAAACCCUGAUGCAGCGACGCCGCGUGAGCGAAGAAGUAUUUCGGUAUGUAAAGCUCUAUCAGCAGGGAAGAAAAUGACGGUA
rnacentral:rRNA from 1 species